rnacentral:rRNA from 1 species
AGAUGGGAGCUUGCUCCCUGUAUGUUAGCGGCGGACGGGUGAGUAACACGUGGGUAACCUGCCUGUAAGACUGGGAUAACUCCGGGAAACCGGGGCUAAUACCGGAUGCUUGAUUGAACCGCAUGGUUCAAUUAUAAAAGGUGGCUUUUAGCUACCACUUACAGAUGGACCCGCGGCGCAUUAGCUAGUUGGUGAGGUAACGGCUCACCAAGGCAACGAUGCGUAGCCGACCUGAGAGGGUGAUCGGCCACACUGGGACUGAGACACGGCCCAGACUCCUACGGGAGGCAGCAGUAGGGAAUCUUCCGCAAUGGACGAAAGUCUGACGGAGCAACGCCGCGUGAGUGAUGAAGGUUUUCGGAUCGUAAAACUCUGUUGUUAGGGAAGAACAAGUACCGUUCGAAUAGGGCGGUACCUUGACGGUACCUAACCAGAAAGCCACGGCUAACUACGUGCCAGCAGCCGCGGUAAUACGUAGGUGGCAAGCGUUGUCCGGAAUUAUUGGGCGUAAAGCGCGCGCAGGCGGUUUCUUAAGUCUGAUGUGAAAGCCCCCGGCUCAACCGGGGAGGGUCAUUGGAAACUGGGGAACUUGAGUGCAGAAGAGGAGAGUGGAAUUCCACGUGUAGCGGUGAAAUGCGUAGAGAUGUGGAGGAACACCAGUGGCGAAGGCGACUCUCUGGUCUGUAACUGACGCUGAGGCGCGAAAGCGUGGGGAGCGAACAGGAUUAGAUACCCUGCUAGUCCACGCCCGUAAACGAUGAGUGCUAAGGUGUUAGAGGGU